GGCUUUACUUUGAGAGGCUGGUGGGCUGUGAGACUACCUUUAUUAGAAUGAAUAACUGUUAUCUCUGGCUUAGUUUGCUCCAGACUGCGCACUGGGUUAUGCCUUGAGCUGCUCUUUAUUUUUUACUACUAAGUACUGGUCGUUGUGUUUCAACCUUAAUUAGGAUGGCAUGCAUGCAUGGUUGUAAACUUGUGCUUUGAUUUUCUCUUAUUUCAUCAACUACCGGCCGCGAUCUUCCAUACCAUUGUAGCUUUGGAAGUUCCAGCAACUUUUGGUCAUAUGGAAAAAUUCUUUCUUGAAAGUUUUUCAUAAUCUCAUAUGGAAACAAACGCUAAGAUCAGAUAUCAACCUUCUAAGUUCAUCCAAGGACAAUGAUGGAUUAACAUGCUGCCAAGCUGCAACGAAAGAAUCAACCCGUUAUCCCACUAUACCUAUGUUGGUACUGGCGCAGUCUACUUUAGGUGAAUGGAAUAUGAUGUAUUUCGAACUGCUGAGAUUCAUGAUGGAGCAUGAAUUAUUUCCCAGUGACCAAUGACAAGAUGCGAUGCCAUAUUUUUCUUGCAGAUAUCUCGAACUUCUAAUAUUUUGGGCUUGCGUUCUGCUUGCCAAGUCCCAACAUGUCCGGCUUAUGGUUGAGAGUAUACUAGAGUUCGGGAUGUGUCAGGUUUGUGGCCGUUCAGUUUAUGUUGUAAAUUUGCUGAAUGCACAUCCAGUUAAUGAAUUGUACUUUUCUCAUGUUUUUCCAUUGAGGGAGCAUCAAUAGGACUAAAGUGUAGUUUUCUUCUUGGCUAGGGAAGGAAGGAUGGAUCAGAGAGAGGAUGGAUUGAUCUUUCAUCUAUCCUCCAAAUGUUUGGGUGAACAUGAAAAGACAGAUGGGAAUGUUUCUGUCCUUUAUUUUGUAUAAAUAAAAUGAAAGAGAGGAUGGAUGAUAUUUAUAUAAUAUUUUUACUAAACUAUCUUUUGAUAAUAAAGAGCGAAAAAAUGUUGAGAUUUUAUCCAGAAAAAAAGGAACAAUUUUGUCAACAUAGAAUCUUUUACAUGCUCCAUCCAUCCUUCCUCUCAUGACCCAAGAUACAUGGGCAAUCCUUUCUUUUCAUCCGUUCUCUCUCUCAUGACCCCAACUAAACACAGAGUAAAUAUGUAAUUUAGAAUGACAGCUUCUAGCAAAGCAAAGAUGAUUGUAUGAGAAGAGUCAUCCAGGUGGUACUUCAGAGUUUGGGUUUAGAAAUUCUUACUGUCCAAGUUUUUGAUGUGCUUUCAUUUGUUAAGGCACAUGAUUAGGUAGCGGUUCCUACUAACUACGAUGAGUGAUAACAGAAUUUAGUCACCAAGUAUUUGCUAACAUGGUAUCACCCUUAUCAUUUGGAUAAGGGGGUGAGGAUUUGAGUUCAUUUGGAAUCCGUUCUCUAGAAUCGAAUGAUAUUUAGACCCUCCUAAUCUUGAAAAAGAAAAGAACAAUGAUAUUUAGCAACUCUAUAAUGUGACCUCAACUUUAAUUUGGUUUUCUUGAUCUAUGGCACAUGUUAUAUUGGACAAUCAAGUGGAAAAGCGUGUACUGAAUAUUUCUAGUGGUUCUAUGUUUCCAUAUUUGUAGAAGAGCACUACUCAGCAGAAACAUACAGAUCGGAAGUUGUGUAGAUAUCGAUCUCGAGUCGAGUUUUAAGCUCGAAUAUUAUGAAUCGAGUUAAACUCGAGUCUCUAACUAUUUGAUUUAACUAAGCUUGAUUGCACCCCAAAAAAAAAUAUGAGAGACUGAUUGAGUUGAAUUUUCUGUUCUUUAUUUGAACUCGAGUAGGUGGAACAAGAUCAAAUCCCUCUCCCAUCCAAAAAAAAAAACAUGGAUGAACGGAGCCCGGCCCCACUUUUUCUAGUCUUCAAAUCCGACAACGGGUUUGGUUCAUCGGAAAUAGUAUAUUUCAAUAAUUUAAAUUUAAAUCAGUAAACUGAAAAUUUUCUUUGUCAUCUCUCAUUUCUAGUGGUCCUACGUUUCCAUGUUUGUAGAAGAGCGCUAUUCGACAGAAACAUACUUAUCCAAAUUUGUGCAGAUGUGGAGCUGGAUAUAUACAAAAUUGUGCUAUAAUUAUUACCCUCAGCUGCACCUCUUGUCGGUGUGAUCCCUGCCCUCUUGGCGCGGGCAUCAAUGGCAUGGACGCAGAUUUGAAAGCUCUUAUUUUAAGCGUCAGGAUAAGGAACAUUGCCUUGCGAUGGUGACAUGCUACCUAGAGAUUGCACCUGGCCUUCUAAUGUGACAGGCUACCAUUAUUAGGACACCAUGGAUUUGCUCAAGCCUGAUCCAUCUGGCCUUCUGAAACAUUAUUAUGCCAUCACUUUUAGCACUUGGUGGAGAAAGUUACGUCUUCAAAACGUUUCUGGUAAGAUUUGAUGGGUUGAAUGUGACCUCCAAAAUGUGAGAGGCAUGCGUGCGGGCACGUUCGUGUUUCAUGAAACCGGCAAGUUGUUAAACGUUGCUUCCACCAAGUGGUUGAUUGCAAUAAAGACGGAACGUUAAUAUUGCUCAAGAUAUUUAUUAGCUAUAUUUAAAAUGAAAGCGUACUGUCACUUCAUAACGUUUCAAAGUUCGUUGCAGCGUAGUACAUUUAUAUUUUUACAUGCAAAUGUUAAAGCGAGCAGUGAAGACGAGAGAAUCGGUCUGUUGAUUUGUUACUCGGUGUUCUAGGCUUUUACUAAAGGACUAGCUUGGUUCCCAAACCAAGAGUCAUAGACUUUAUUGUCAAGUGGAUUUACAAUGGGCGUGCACAUUGGACUCAGCUUGAGCACGUUUCAAGGAAUAUAAUAGCUCAAGCAUGGAUCCCAAGAGCAAAUAUUGAGCUCUAAUCUAAUUAGAUAUUGGCUUUGCUGCACAGAAUGCAAUUGGACUAACUAAAAGGCUAAGGAAUUGGUAAAUUAGAUUACAUUUUAUCGUUAGCUUCCUCUUCUCCAUCCUUCACACGGCAAAAGGAUAAGAGUUUGGACUCAAAUAACAACAUUUCUUUGUAUUUUAUAGUCUAGAAGGUAGAAGGCUGUUGACAGCGGUCAUAAAUUGAGACAGGGAGAGAGAGACGUAGCAUUAACUUUUUUUUUUUCAAAAUGAUCCGUAACUUUUUAUCAAAACGGAAAGUUGCCAUUCUAAAUAAGUCACGAUUUCUAUUCAACUUGCAAAAUUACGGAUAGAAGAAAUUAGACAAACCUAGUUUUAGAUAUAAACUAAAAAAUCAUUACAAUUUUUCAAAUGUAACGAAUCCAGACAAUUCACAGUGUUACGUAUGGUUAGCAUCAGGGCCUCGACCUCAACGGGCAUUCUUAUAUAAAUUUUUGGCCAGUCCCGUGUCCCAAAGGGCAUGGCAAAAUCUAAUCACGUGGAAUGAGACUAAUGACAGUAACCAGUUGAGCUAAUCACGCAACACAUGUCUAGCCAACUGACUAAAAUUAAUCCAACCGACUAAGAUUAAUUAAGUUUUUCCGCAUUUCACUAUCUCCAAUAAAAAAAUCGAAUGGUUGUACGUACCAUCAAAAAAGAAAAAUCCACAUCUUUUUUUUUAUUCUGAUUUUUGGUCACCGGUUCAUCAUGUCAAGUAAGACCUUCGAGGAACACGUUUUAUUUUUUAUUUUUUUUUGAUUGAAAGGGAGUCUAAAAAAAGCCGCCCAGCUUUUAUAAAGAAUCAGAGUUAGGUAGAAUCAUAAUUAGUUUAACUCGUGCUUAUCAUGCAGCGCAAGUUUACUUAACUGCAUUUAUACAAGGACUAAAAUUAAUGUGUCCUGUGCUGUGCUGCUGUGCACGGAACGGCUAUUAAUUAGUUUCCGCAUCUUACUCAUCGUCAACAAAAGCCGGGUGGUAUUACCUCACCUACCUUCAAAUAAAAAAAAAAUUCCGCAUCCUUUUUUAUUUUGAUUUCUCUGCUAUCAAAUAGAGUCCGCCUCCAUACACAGAAGUUGUAACCAGAACAAAGGGCCCUCAUCCAAUGGCGACCCAACUCUCGCUAACCUUGCUCACCUUUUACACCAUGUUCGCUCUCCUUGCCUGGCCCGGCAUGGCGGGCAACGUCCUCUACUCCGAGUCGGGCGGCAAACUCCUUUCCGGCGAGAGCCUCACCUACAGGCAAUACUCUCUGGUCAUGCAGAAGGACUGCAAUCUAGUGGUCUACGAUGGCAACGAGCCCAUCUGGGCCAGCGGCACCUACGGCAAGGGAAGCAACUGCUUCCUCACCCUGGAGUCCAAUGGUGAGCUAAUCAUCCAUGGUUACCCUCUAUUUAUUCCAGUUAGCUCCCCUAUUUGGACUAGCGGCAGCACCUCGGUCGAUGGGAGCUACGUUCUCGUUCUCGAAUACGAUGGGGGCCUUCGUGUUUAUGGCCCGGUGAUAUGGUCGAUCCCCUCCCAAUCUGCCGAACUGAGGAGCGAUGGAUACGGUUGGCCUGCCGUGAACGACUCCGUGCUGUGGACGGGCGACGUCGCGCCCAUCGGAACCACCAUCGUGAACAGCGUCUACAAGUUGGCCUUGGAGGACAACUGCAACUUGACUUUGUCCGACACCAGCACCAAGAGGGUUCUGUGGUACACAAACACGAGCAACAAUCUGCGUGAUUGCUUCGUGACUCUGGGGGCCACCGGAGAGUUCAGUAUCAAGUACAUGGGAGGAGAGACGCUGUGGAGCAGCGGUGUGCAACCACAGUAUGGGGAAUAUGUCCUUGUGCUUUCACCGGAUGCUGAUCUUGACGUCUAUGGCCCGUCGAUUUGGACCGCGGAGAAGUCCGCGGUGGUGGCAGUGGCGGCGACUGCCGGUGACUCGGUUCCGAGUGGGGAGAAGAUCGUGAUGGUGAGCAAGGAGUGAGGGAGAGGCUCCUCUGGGGGAGAAAUAAUGCAGUCCUGUAUUAAAUAAACUAGGUGUGGUAUCCUUGUGUCGUGUUUCGAGGUUAACUUAUGCUGUGUAAUCCGGUGCUUGUGCUAUCUGCAUGCAUGCAAGGUGUUGUGCCUUUGAUCUUCCUGACAAUCUGAUGACAAAAGUGCGUAGGUACCCGCUAUGUAUGGCAAAGGUGUUACCACCUAUUUCUUACGGAUAUUUGGGCAAUAGUGAGAGGUGGAUGGUUAUGCAGACUAAGUAUGUAUAUUGCGAGGCCAACGGGCAGCAUAUCGGGUAGCAUCUUAUAUGGCUAAUCAUUCUGAAAGAUCCUGUAGCUGGGGAAGAGAAGGUUGUUCGGUGCAUUCUGGGACUUGCUAUCCUUUGAUUUCUUUAGAUGUAUUCAUAUCCACUAUGUUUGAUACAUCCGUUUCAGCAAAAAAAAAAAAGUGCAGGUAAAUCAAGCUUGCAGAAACUGAGGAAAUGAAAUCCGGUAUGAUCUAGUUUAAAAUUCUGGCGUAAAUCCAGUUAGAACUCUUCACUUCUGGAUGUUGUCUCAACCUAGGUGAAUAAAUGUUGCAUUUGAGUCGAAAGCUGUACUUGAACUCGAUGUGACUAGAUAUGAUCGAUCCCGGAUUCCCGGCCGACUGAUUUAGCCUGGCAUCAUGCUUCUCCCGAAACAUGACAUGCGGGCAACCAUCUGGUUCAAUUGCAAAAUGGACGGUCCGAUCAAAAGAGUUUUCAACUAAGAUGCCCUAACCAUAACGCGGGCCCAGUUUGGGGUGGGCAGAUGGACUUCCACCUGGCCCAGUCCUCUACAAAGUGUAGAGGCCCUAAUGGGAUGUCUCUAGUGGACGGGGUCUUACCUAAUUACAAGUGUCCUGUGGACCGCAAUGUUGGUGGUUCGCACUCUCGAAUUAUUUUGCAAACCAAGCCAUUUAUUUAUUCACGGAUUGUAAAGGACGAGCACACCAUCGUCCAUCAUAAGAAUGGCAUCCGAGAGACUUAACUGGGACAACCUGACCCAUCAGCACCCCAAUAUGUACCCUUUAGAGACAGAUCAGGGCAUGGGACCUAUGCAGAACACUGACGUGUCAAUCUCUUCUUGACUGCGUUCACCAAACCCGGGAGCGCAGAAAUUUGCGAAGGAAAUCAUGCCUUAAAUUGGAGGCCAAAAAAUUUUAAACAGACUUUAUUGCAUUUAGACUUGCGGUCCAAGCUUUAAACUCAUGCACCACCUAUCUAGGUCAAUUGGAACAAGAUUACAUCUUCCCCACAUUCAAUAUAAAAUUGGCUCCGUUUACUCCUUGGAGAGAAGGGGUCCAUGCUUGACUUAAGUUCUACUCAACCCUACUAGAUCCUGGUAUUUUUAGUGAAGGACCUAGAUGAUUGAUAGAGUUGUGAAUCACUAGGCUUGGUUCUAAUAUCACCUAUCAUGGAUUUGCUAGCUCAAAAGCUCAAGCUAUCGGAUUGAGGACCGCUUCCAUGUGGGACUACGACAGAGCAAUAUAUCUCAAUAGUAUCUAGUAUGCACAAGGCCCACAAAGAAUUCCCAUCAAUAUAUAGCGAAACAUUUUUGAAAUUACCUUUUUGAUUGAGUAUUGCAAUUUUAUGACCAUUAACAUAUAUUACAAACAUAUGAUGAACUAAUGGUGAACUAUCACCUUUUUCAAAUAAAUAAACAAGUAAAUAAAUAAAUAAAUAAAAUCGUGGGGCUAGGAAUAUAUGGUGAACGCUACUUGUAUACAAUACUAUAGAUUAGUUUUAUUAUUCUGCUUUUUUCUAGCCAAAUAUCAAAAUGUAUAAAUUUAUUGGGACGAAAACUCCAAAUGAAACUCCUUAAUGCAUACGAGGAGAAAAGGGAUGAGAGUACGGACAUGGGAAUAAAGGUGUAUCGUUCCAUUUUCUUUGAUUUUCAAAAAGAGUUUGGAUCCUCUGCAAUGUGCGACUAGCACCGCAGAAUAUAGUACAAUAUGGAUGGCCAUCACAUCAUCUAAUCAAAGAGACGGAUGGCUAUCAAAUAGGGCAGGCAUUGCAUGCCAUACAUGGAAUAUCGCAUGCCAUAUACACACCCUAUUUAUCAGCUCUCCAUUUUCAUGAUUGGACGACAUGGUGGCCAUCCAGCUGUGCCUCACUCUAUAGUGCAAAUCAUGCACCACAGAAGAUUCUUGGUCUUUCUCCAAACCCCUUGCUAGAUUCAGUUCAAACAAAGACGUCAACAAUCCAAGCCUGCAUGUAUGUGUGUAGACAAACUUAUAAGGGUAAAAUUAUAAGUUAAAUAUAUAAUAAAAUGAGGGCAUAUACAUAAAUACUGAUUUUAACUGAUAAAUAUGCAACAGUCCAAGCCUGUAUGUAUGUGUGUAGACAAACACACAUGCAUGUACUUUUACUAUCUAUUUAGAAAGCUCAAGCUUAUAAUUGGGUUUCAUGACUUAGGAACAAGUUCCUUGCAAUUAGGUCCGACAAAUUUAUUCUGUAUUUUGACAUGCGGGCUAUGUACUCAGUAUUUAUUGUUGCAUGGCUGUCCAAACAUUAAGAAGCCCUUCUAUUGUUUAUUCUAGAUUUACUGAUAUGCACGUCGUGAAAUUAAAGAACAAAAUUUAAUAUAUUACAUUGUUACAAUAAUUGUUUAGUACGUUACUAAUUUAUUUAUUUUUGGUACAACAACAGUUCAUACAGCUCGCGUUAGAGUAUGGCCAAUCGAGUCCAAAAAAAGAAAAUGGCAUAAACAAGAAGAGGUACUACAUGACACGUCCAUAGAACCGCUCCGGAGUGUCGAGCAACAAAUGAGCUGACCCAGUCAGUGAUCCGGUUCACUUUCCGAAACACAUGAUCAGCCUGGAAGGAGUCCAAAUCACUCGCCAGUCCGCAAAUGUCACAAAGCAACGGUUGCCCACACCCAUGUCGAUCCUCUCCUCGUAUCCAACCGAUCAUUGCGGCAAAGUUCUCCUCCAGGCACACUCUACUAGCAUCGAGCACAUACCUGACGAAGGUAAUACCCUCCCAAGCUGCCUGAAGCUCUACCUCAAUGGCAGUCAUGCGAUCAAUGCACCGUCCUCCAGCAGCAACCAGUCUGGAGUUCUGGUCCUGGAUCAUGAAGCCCAUGCCACUACUAGCACCAUCGGCGGUCGCACCACCAUCAGCCAGUAACUACCCAAAGGCCUCCCGGACCGCCACCUCACUCCAGUUGCCCUCUCCGGAAAUAAACAGGUCACAUGCCCUGCAUCCCGCCAACCUCGCCGAUUCAACCGGCAUCGGCAUAUGACGGAGCGGAAACUCGGUCACCCAUUUGUCCUCUAGCACAUCAGUGGAUUGCCUGUCGCCGAUGGCCCAUCUGGUCGCAGAAGGCAUCAACGGAGCCUGAGCAGAAAUCUUCCUCCAUAUAAAGGAACACCUGCACCGUGCCUUAACAUCUUCUGUCGCUGACACGCCACCAUACUUGACUCUAAGGAGGGAACACCACAAACUGUCAGGCUUUAGAAUAAAUCUGGCUACAUGUCUCGUCACUAGUAUCUCUUGUAUCGCCACCAAGGAAUGCACUUCUAAUCCGAGUCGCAAUGCCAUCUUUAGCAAGAGACAAAGUGCGUCGCGAAGAGGCUGUCGAGUUGCUCGAAGGAGUGGAUGGAAUAAGGCCGAAGCCCGGAGAACCAGAACCGAGCCAUUUUACAAAGGGUUGCUGGGAAUGCCUUGCAAAGCUUGGCAUUGGUGACUUCGUGCGGCUAGCAUCACGAGAGCCUUAAAGCUCUCGAGGUGGUCCAGAAGAUCUGAGGUGCCAUUGUACGACUCCACCAAGGACAUCAUGAAGUCAAACCGAAGUUGAGGUUGUUGUGUCUUCGGAGCCUAUCCUUGGAAAUCUGCUGGCCCAUCUUUUUGAUUCUUCAAUUGUGGUCGGCGUCCUACCGAGAUGAAGACUCCAUGCGACGAGGAGGCGAAAGGCUUAGAGCGGAGUUCUCACUGGAAUCGAGGCUUGAAGCAUGUUAUUUUCCAUCCCGACCGGGACUGCUCCGCUGGGUGCACCGACUCUGGGGGGACCGCUUCGAGUCCCAGCCUCGGUAAUGGUAGCUGACCAAUGGUAUGCCGUGUGCUAUCUAUUGAGAGUGGUGUCUAGGGUGACCGAAUUCCGGCUAGAUUGGCUCCAGUUGUGUCGGCACCUGUUGCAGGCUCUAGACCGCCGCAGUUAGCACCUACACCAAUUGGAUGAGCGCAGGUUGAACUGCUCAUUGUCCACAGGCGUGGCAAGUUGUUUCAGCGGAGUAGGAUUCGAGCUCUACAGUGACCCUUGGGUGGUUGGAGCACGACGUUGCAAAGUAUGCGAUACAUCACAGGCACCUUGUGACCUCAAGCCGAUCGUCUCUCCCUUUGAUGGAUAUUGGUGUUGCUGCGGUUUGCGAGGCCCUCUUAGCGCCAUUCUUUUGUCGCUGAAUCCGGACUGUGGUGGGAGAGCACCUUGAUCGACUCUAAGGUCGGCUGGAGGUAAGCUGAGGAGGCCGGAUGACACUUUGAGGGUCGGACUCCUCCGGAGAUUGCUUGCAAAAGAGUCCGCUUGCUGAAGAAUUUUUUGUGGGGAACUCUCCGAUGCCUAAGUCAGAAUAAUGAGGCAACAAAAUGGAAGGUGAAGGGUUUUAGCAGAGAGUGACUCUAUGAGUAAUAUUUCAUGCAUAGUAUGAGUAUAUUGCUUGUUAUUGCGUACCUAAGGUCCCUCGAACUGCCCCUUUGUAGGUCAUCGGCUGAUCGACUGCUCGAACGAGGUCGGAGUCGUCUGAGGUCGGCUUUUUCUGAGGUCAAGAAGGUAGGUCUGGCCUGAGGUCGAGGUACCUCAUACUUUCCCCAUCAAUUCAGAAAUGAGAAUAUAAGAUGCAAUAAGGUCUGUUGCUAGUAGACACUUUGCAUCCUAAACUUGAUUGGUCAUAAAAAUGCGUUCGCCCACGGUAGGCCCAAACUUGAUCUUAAGGAUGCGGUGGGUGAGGAUGGCGAUAAAGAAGGUACUGGCCACCCGGUUGAAGGGAUUAGGUAUCAUGGUGAAGAUAGCCAGCAGUGCGGAAGUAUAUCCAAGUUUUUCGACAAAAGCGUCCAACUUAUAUAAUAUGAAAUUUAGCCCGUGCGAAGGUCACUUGCGUUCCUAAUGGGGAACUUGGCACAUGUAUUGAACGUGCACUACCCUUAUGUUCACCAACAAACCCCUACUUCAAUCUCUAGCAUCUUUUCGUUUUUCCCGGUACGUUUCACUAUCUAGGUUUUAAAUAUAGAGUACCCAACCAACCCAUCCCGCUCUCGCCGAGACAAGCACCAAUGGCCUUUCCAACCUCGGUUCCUCUUCUCAUCCUUCUGCUCACCUUUGGCCUCCUCGGUCGGCCGGGCUCGGCCACCGACUUCGUCAUCUACUCCGAUCCCCCCACCGCUCUCCUGCCUGGCCAAAUGUUCCACUAUGACUUGACUCCCCAAGACAUCCCGUAUGGCCGGGCCUCGCUGGUCAUGAAGCCCGACUGCAACCUGGUCCUUUACUUCAAUGGAAGCAAAACCUGGGCCACCAACACCACCGGCCUGGGUGACAACUGCUACCUCACCAUAGACUCUCACGGCGAAGCCAUCGUUCAGCGCAACAUACACUACCCCGUGUGGCGAAGCAACAAAACGUCCGUCGUGGGGAGCUAUGCCUUCCUCUUGCAAUGGAAUGGAGAACUCGGCAUCUAUGGCCCGGCCAUAUGGUCGAGCUCUAACGAAGGAGAACUGAGCGAUCCAAAGCCUUCCAACAUCACCACGGACUACGUCUUCUAUUCCUACAGCGUGUUGCCCAUAGGAAAGAUACUUGAAUACAAGAAUUACAGGCUGGUCUUGCGUGAUGACUGCAACCUGGUGCUGCUCGACACCAACACCAACACCCAGGAUAUCAAAUGGCAGACCAACACUUACAGUCCCUUGCACGACUGCUUCAUCACCCUCGACCCCAACGGGGAGUUGUUCGUCAAGCAUAACCGCAGGGACAUUCUCUGGAGGUCCAAUGAAACAACUAAUUCGAAUUUCUCCGCACUUGUGCUUCGGUACGACGCAAAGCUUGUUAUCUAUGGCCCUCAGCUGUGGACGACCAAACCAUUGUGGUAGAUGUUUGGGCUUGUACUUUGAGAUGCUGGUGGGCUGUGAGACUAUCUUAGAAUGAAUAACUGUCUGUGGCUUAGUUUGCUCCAGACUGCGCACUUGGUUAUGCUUUGAGCUGCUCUUUAUUUUUACUACUAAGCACUUGUCGUUGUGUUUCAACCUUAAUUAGGAUGGCAUGCAUGGUUGUAAACUUGUGCUUUGAUUUUCUCUUAUCUCAUCUGGACUACCGCGAUCUUCCAUACCAUUGUAGCUUUGGAAGUUCAAGCAACUUUUGGUCAUAUGGAAAAAUUCUUUCUUGAAAGUUUUUCAUAAUCUCAUAUGGAAACAAACGCUAAGAUCGGAUAUCAACCUUCUAAGUUCAUCCAAGGAGAAUGAUGGAUUAACAUGCUGCGAAGCUGCAACGAAAAAAUCAACCCGUUAUGCCACUAUACCUAUGUUGGUACUGGUGAAGUAUACUUUAGGUGAAUGGAAUAUGAUGUAUUUCGAACUGCUGAGAUUCAUGAUGGUGCAUGAAUUAUUUCCCAGUGACCAAUGACAAGAUGCGAUGCCAUAUUUUUCUCGCAGAUAUCUCGAACUUCUAAUAUUUUGGGCAUGCGUUCUGCUUGCCAAGUCCCAACAUGUCCGGCUUAUGGUUGAAAGUAUACUAUAGUUCGGGAUUUGUCAGGUUUGGGCCGUUCAGUUUAUGUUGCAAAUUUGCUGAAUGCACAUCCAGUUAAUUAAUUUUGCUUUUCUUAUGUCUUUCCAUCGAGGGAGCAUCAAUAGGACUAAAGUGUAGUUUUCUUCUUGGCUAGGGGAGGAAGGAUGGAUCAGAGAGAGGAUGGAUUGAUCUUUGAUCUAUCCUCCUGUAUGUUUGGGUGAACAUGAAAG
rnacentral:lncRNA from 1 species